UCUACGGGUGGCAGCAGUGGGGAAUAUUGGGCAAUGGGCGCAAGCCUGACCCAGCAACGCCGCGUGAAGGAAGAAGGCUUUCGGGUUGUAAACUUCUUUUGACAGGGAAGAGCAGAAGACGGUACCUGUCGAAUAAGCCACGGCUAACUACGUGCCAGCAGCCGCGGUAAUACGUAGGUGGCAAGCGUUGUCCGGAUUUACUGGGUGUAAAGGGCGUGUAGCCGGGCUGACAAGUCAGAUGUGAAAUCCGGGGGCUCAACCCCCGAACUGCAUUUGAAACUGUUGGUCUUGAGUAUCGGAGAGGCAGGCGGAAUUCCUAGUGUAGCGGUGAAAUGCGUAGAUAUUAGGAGGAACACCGGUGGCGAAGGCGGCCUGCUGGACUGUGACUGACGUUGAGGCCCGAAGGCGUGGGGAGCAAACAGGAUUAGAUACCCGUGUAGUU
rnacentral:rRNA from 1 species